CCUACGGGCGGCAGCAGUGGGGGAUAUUGGACAAUGGGGGAAACCCUGAUCCAGCGACGCCGCGUGAGUGAAGAAGUAUUUCGGUAUGUAAAGCUCUAUCAGCAGGGAAGAAAGAAAUGACGGUACCUGAGUAAGAAGCCCCGGCUACGACGUGCCCGCAGCCCGGGGAAUACGUAGGGGGGCAGCGGUAGUCGGAAUUUCCGGGUGGAAAGGGAGCGUAGACGGUAAUGCAAGUUUGGAGUGAAAGGCCGGGGCCCAACCCCCGGGCUGCUCUGGAAACUGUGUAACUGGAGUGCAGGAGAGGCAGGCGGAAUUCCUAGUGUAGCGGUGAAAUGCGUAGAUAUUAGGAGGAACACCAGUGGCGAAGGCGGCCUGCUGGACUGUAACUGACGUUGAGGCUCGAAAGCGUGGGGAGCAAACAGGAUUAGAUACCCCAGUAGUC
rnacentral:rRNA from 1 species